rnacentral:rRNA from 1 species
GUGAGGAAUUUUCCGCAAUGGGCGAAAGCCUGACGGAGCAAUGCCGCGUGAAGGAUGAAGGCCUAUGGGUUGUAAACUUCUUUUCUCAGAAAAGAAUUAUGACGGUAUCUGAGGAAUAAACAUCGGCUAACUCUGUGCCAGCAGCCGCGGUAAGACAGAGGAUGCAAGCGUUAUCCGGAAUGAUUGGGCGUAAAGCGUCUGUAGGUUGUUUAAAAAGUAUUCUGUCAAAGAUUAGGGCUUAACCCUAGAUAGGCAGAAUAAACUUUUAAGCUAGAGUUUGGUAGAGGCAGAGGGAAUUCCCGGUGGAGCGGUGAAAUGCGUAGAUAUCGGGAGGAACACCAAAGGCGAAGGCACUCUGCUGGGCCAAUACUAACACUGAGAGACGAAAGCGAGGGGAGCAAAUGGGAUUAGAUACCCGGGUAGUCC